UUGUCAUGCCAAUGGCACUGCCCGGUAGCUAAAUGCGGAAGAGAUAAGUGCUGAAAGCAUCUAAGCACGAAACUUGCCCCGAGAUGAGUUCUCCCUGAGACUUUAGAUCUCCUGAAGGAACGUUGAAGACGACGACGUUGAUAGGCCGGGUGUGUAAGCGCAGCGAUGCGUUGAGCUAACCGGUACUAAUGAACCGUGAGGCUUAACCUUACAACGCCGAAG
rnacentral:rRNA from 1 species